rnacentral:rRNA from 1 species
GACGAGGGGUCCUAGCGUUGUUCGGAAUCACUGGGCGUAAAGCGUUUGUAGGCGGCUCUAUAAGUCGGGUGUGAAAUCCCACGGCUCAACCGUGGAAGUGCAUUCGAAACUGCAGAGCUUGAAUAUGGUAGAGGACAGUAGAAUUGCUGGUGUAGUGGUGAAAUACGUAGAUAUCAGCAGGAAUACCGGUGGCGAAGGCGACUUCCUGGCCUGUUCUUGACGCUGAGGCGCGAAAGCUAGGGUAGCAAACGGG